rnacentral:rRNA from 1 species
AGUGAACGCUGGCGGUAGGCCUAACACAUGCAAGUCGAACGGCAGCACAGUAAGAGCUUGCUCUUACGGGUGGCGAGUGGCGGACGGGUGAGGAAUACAUCGGAAUCUACUUUUUCGUGGGGGAUAACGUAGGGAAACUUACGCUAAUACCGCAUACGACCUACGGGUGAAAGCAGGGGAUCUUCGGACCUUGCGCGAUUGAAUGAGCCGAUGUCGGAUUAGCUAGUUGGCGGGGUAAAGGCCCACCAAGGCGACGAUCCGUAGCUGGUCUGAGAGGAUGAUCAGCCACACUGGGACUGAGACACGGUCCAGACUCCUACGGGAGGCAGCAGUGGGGAAUAUUGGACAAUGGGCGCAAGCCUGAUCCAGCCAUACCGCGUGGGUGAAGAAGGCCUUCGGGUUGUAAAGCCCGUUUUGUUGGGAAAGAAAAGCAGCAGGUUAAUACCCCGCUGUUCUGACGGUACCCAAAGAAUAAGCACCGGCUAACUUCGUG